AAUACGUUCCCGGGCCUUGUACACACCGCCCGUCACACCACGAAAGUCGGCAACACCCGAAGCCGGUGGCCUAACCCUUAGGGGAAGGAGCCGUCGAAGGUGGGGUCGGUGAUUGGGGUG
rnacentral:rRNA from 1 species